GGAUGCGAGGGUGAUCUGGCUGUGACAUCUGUCACCCCAUUGAUCGCCAGGGUUGUUCCCUUCCUCCCUCACUACUCCAUGGGCAUCCCUCCCGAAGCUGCAUGCUCGGUGGAAGAGGACAACCAACACAGAUAGAAGGAGUGUACCGUUCUUUGGUCAAGGGUAUAUGAUAGCUGCGCUCCUCUGCUAGAACCUCCAAAUAAGCUCAAGCCCUAUGUGUAGGAAACAUAGGNUAGUCAAGCUUCCAAGACUCCAGACACAUCCAAGUAAGGCGCCACAUGUGGCAGUUUGCCAUUCUU
rnacentral:snRNA from 1 species